GCCAACCUUUGUAAUAGAUGUUAGUACCGACUUCAAUUUCAUAUGAAGAUGGUGAGGUCGGUUACAUGAUAACAGACCUCAAUUUCAGUUCAAAACACCUCCUCCGAUGAAUCUCCUGUAACGCCUUCUCACUCCAUUGAUUUCCCCUUAAAUCCGUUCAUUUACUAGCUUCAUCCCACUCCUCCCACUCUAUAUCAUGUAACCGACCUCACCAUCUUCAUAUGUAAUCGGCCGCCAUUACCAGAAAAGCUAUCAAAGAGAUAAUAAUCUUCAGAAAAGUACACCUAGCUUCUCGGCCCAAUGACGAGCUCCAACAACAAGAAGAAUACACAAGCGAAUGAUUUUGAAGAUAUCAGUGAGAUUAUUAAAGCACUUAACAUCUCGACGGAUGACUUUGCUAUUAGGACGACCAGAUUCUGGAAAAUCAACUUUGCUUCUGGCUCUCGCAGAUAAAAGUUUAAAGGUUAGUUAACCCAUGAAGUUAUUUAAUAUGCUCUGAUAUUCACAUGAAUCGUAUGUUUGAUAUCUGUUUUUAAUUUAAUGGUCACAUGUGUAUUAAAGGUUUUAUAUUGCAGAUAAAAUUAGCCUUUUGAUUUUUACAUAAAACGUUUGUGAGAAGUGAGAAUCUUCUAUAUAAAGUUUAGUUGCAGAUUAUAGGAUCUUAGUUACUCCAAAAAGCCACACAGAGGAUCUUAGCAAACCUUAGUUCUCUGCAGUACUGAACACUUUUUCCGACUCCCUGAUGCCCCCCCUCUUGCCAUACGCUUCAAUAAUGCCACUUCUUUUGAAAAGUUGACGGAAUCCGCAAAGCCGAAACCAACUGAACUUUUCCGGGUUUCGUCCGUCCGACCAACUACGUGCUUAGGCGAACACCAACAGACAGCUACCUGACAUACUUGGUGAGGUAAGUGCAGUCAGGAGCACAAUCAACGACCGUUCACAGGGGGCUCAACAUGUAAUGCGCUUACUAUACGUCAAGAGAGGGAUGUAACCCUCUGUGUCAGUAUAUUUGACUCCUUAGCUGUUUCCUUUGAUAAAUAAUUUUAAAGCUACAGAAGUGAGCCAAAAAUUGUCCUUGCCACCAGCAUCAAUCCAAAGAUAGUUGGAGGUUGUAAACUUUACUAUGUGUAGUUUAUUCAUUUUAAUAUAGCUUUGGAGUAAUGCAUUGCAUAGAAUUUGUUUUUGACCGGAUAUAACUUCACAUAAACUUGAUGUAUUCUUUGUAGGCAGGCUAUUUCUGAGCUCAACAUGUGGAACACAUAUUUACUUUGACAGUGAGACAGCUCUAGGAAAUGAGAAGUUUGACAAACUGAGCUGAUGGCACAGAGCAGAUGGCAGCGUCGUCAAAGGUAGCUCAUGUCCAGAAAAUUGAGCCACUCACCAUCUCUGAGCUUAAUGAAUAUGUGAUCGCUGCCCAGCCUCAGAUAAUUGAGUUUCUCUGCAUUCCAGCUCAAGCUAACCGAGUCUAAAGGGCCUUAAAGCGUUCGCAGAAGCAAUAGAUGUUGUUAGAGACAAAGGUGUUGCUAUGGCUGUGGCUGUGGCGUCCGCAGAAGACAUUGAUGCGGCGAACGGUGCACGUCCAAACUUUUUCAGAGGUUAAGAAAACUAUCUAAGCUGAUAACUUUUACUUUAAUAAGAUUGAGAAUCUCUAUUAGAUUUGUUUCUCUGCUGCGAGGGAGUUUAUUGGCAAAGCUAAUAUAUUAAACAUGCGUAAAGAACUUUGUAGAAUA